rnacentral:lncRNA from 1 species
CCGUUAAUUUUAUUUUUUAUUUUUUAUUUUUUAAAAUUUAUUUUCCCUUUCUUUACUCUUUAUUAUUUUUUCCUUUUUUUCCUCACAUCUCAUUUUCGUCACUUCUUUUUUGCAGCACUCUUCCUUAACCAUCGCACUCUAGUAAUGCUACUAGUUGAAAAAGCUCCCACAACCCAUAUUUCCUUUCUGUUUCGAUCUUCUUGUUCAAAUAUUCUCAAAACCCACAUGAAAGUCACGAAAAUACUAAGUCAGUUUUGAAUUUUUCUUGUCUUGAUCUAUCACCUCAAUUAUUCGAUUUUGUGGCUCUCCUUGGACUAAUACACUCCCAUCACCUUUCAGAUUGUCAAAUGGAAUCUCAAAGCUUUAAACCUGAACUCAAACCGAGAUAAGUCCCCUUCUUUUUUAUUUUUCAUUUCCUUUUUCCUUUUUUGUUGAAUACUGGCCUUUUUCUUUAUUUUUUGCAGGCUUGGUUUAGCUUCUUUGAAAUAAUAGGGAACAAUUCUUUUUUUAUUAUGUUAGUUGAAUUUUUCGUGUGUUGGGUUUUUGGUAUAGGUGAUUAUUUAUAGUUUGAGUUUUGAGUGUGGUACUUAAAGCAAUAGAUGCUUCUAGGUUUAGUGCUGAGGAAGGUAGGGGUGGAGGCAAUGGAAAUGAAAAUGAUGUAGUGUCGAAGAGGAUGGUGAUAAGAAUGUUGAGUGGUAAGGAUCGUGCUAAAUAUAAUGAUGGUGGCGAGGGAUUGGAAGUCGAGAGAAAAGGCCAGAGAGGGGGAUGUGUAAGCUUGUUAUUGGUGGGUUAGACAAUGAAUGAUGGGAAUGGUGAGAGAAAAAGUAUAAAAGAUUUAACAAAUGAACUUAACAGAGAGAGAGAUUUAACCGUAGUAGGUACAAUCAUGACCAAAUUAUUUAGAAAUAAUUAUUAUUUAAAGUGAUUAAAUAAGAUGAUUUAUUCAAAAAAAUGAUAUAAUAAUUAAAUAUGACUUUAGCUACAAUGGUGAAAUUAAGUUGUUAAAAAUCAUAAUGUUUGGGUUUGAUUUUUAUCAUGCACACAUAUUUUUCUAAAAUUUAUAUGAAAAGGUAAAAAGCACUUUGUAAAAAUAAGGAGUUUUUGAUAAAUUUUCCAUUGAGUUAGAUUUUAAAUGAAGGGCUCGAUAAGAAUCUUAAAUAUUAAUAUUGAUACUAAGUUAAUCUUAAAUAUUAAUAUUGAUAUUAAGUUUAAAUUAAUUAAAAUUUAGGGUAAACUACACAAAUAAUCAUUCAACUAUGAUAGUGUUUUUAUUUUAGUCACUCAACUAUAAUUUUUUUUAUUUAGUCAUCAAAGUUUUCAAAAUUAAAUUUUUUAGUCACCUGACGUUAAGUUAAUAAAUGAAGUCUAACAUGACAUUUUCUUUUUGGCUUAAAAAUAAAUUUAGCCCUUUAAUAUUUAGACAUUAUAUCAAUUUAAUCUUAAUUUUAAAAAAUAAUUUUAGGUCUCAACAUAUAAAUAAUGCAAGCCUUUCAGAAUUAGAUCGACAAUCGAAUCGAUUAAAUCACUGGUUCUAGUCCGACCAGUUUGUCCGAUUCAAUUGAAUAAAUUAUUUAAAAAAUCAUAAAAAUAAGAUAAAUAUUUACAAAAAAUAGAAAAAAAAAACUUAUUCAACUAUCAAUUCAAUCCAUGUUGCUAGUUUACGGGUCAAUCAGUCCAACUGUUGGG